rnacentral:miRNA from 1 species
UCUCUCUGCUUGCAAAUAAAAAUGUUUUAAGCCACUGUGCCUUUAAUGCGAGCACUGGGGAGGCAGAGGUAGGAGGAU